rnacentral:rRNA from 1 species
GACGAACGCUGGCGGCGUGCCUAAUACAUGCAAGUAGAACGCUGAAGGAGGAGCUUGCUUCUCUGGAUGAGUUGCGAACGGGUGAGUAACGCGUAGGUAACCUGCCUGGUAGCGGGGGAUAACUAUUGGAAACGAUAGCUAAUACCGCAUAAUAGUAGAUGUUGCAUGACAUUUGCUUAAAAGGUGCAAUUGCAUCACUACCAGAUGGCCCUGCGUUGUAUUAGCUAGUUGGUGGGGUAACGGCUCACCAAGGCGACGAUACAUAGCCGACCUGAGAGGGUGAUCGGCCACACUGGGACUGAGACAAGGCCCAGACUCCUACGGGAGGCAGCAGUAGGGAAUCUUCGGCAAUGGACGGAAGUCUGACCGAGCAACGACGCGUGAGUGAAGAAGGUUUUCGGAUCGUAAAGCUCUGUUGUAAGAGAAGAACGAGUGUGAGAGUGGAAAGUUCACACUGUGACGGUAUCUUAACAGAAAGGGACGGCUAACUACGUG